rnacentral:rRNA from 1 species
UACGUAGGGGGCAAGCGUUGUCCGGAUUUAUUGGGCGUAAAGCGCGUGUAGGCGGCUAGACAGGUCCGCUGUGAAAACUCGAGGCUCAACCUCGAGAUGUCGGUGGAAACCGUUUAGCUAGAGUCCGGAAGAGGUGAGUGGAAUUCCUAGUGUAGAGGUGAAAUUCGUAGAUAUUAGGAAGAACACCAGUGGCGAAGGCGGCUCACUGGUCCGGUACUGACGCUGAGGUGCGAAAGCGUGGGGAGCAAACAGG